rnacentral:lncRNA from 1 species
UUUCAUUUAUGUUCUCCGUCCUUUAUUCUCUGUCCUUGAACGCAUUCUUCAGAGGUGUGUUGAAUCCUUGUCACUAAACUCUGACGGCUAGCUCAGCUGUGUCUGUUUCUAGCAUCUAUGUUCUCCGUCCUUUAUUCUCUGUUCUUGAACGCAUUCUUCAGAGGUGUGUUGAAUCCUUGUCACUAAACUCUGAUGGCCAGAUCAGCUGUGUCUGUAUUUUCAUUUAUGUUCUCCGUCCUUUAUUCUCUGUCCUUGAACGCAUUCUUCAGAGGUGUGUUGAAUCCUUGUCACUAAACUCUGACGGCUAGAUCAGCUGUGUCUGUAUUUUCAUCUAUGUUCUCUGUCCUUUAUUCUCUGUUCUUGAACGCAUUCUUCAGAGGUGUGUUGAAUCCUUGUCACUAAACUCUGACGGCUAGAUCAGCUGUGUCUG